rnacentral:lncRNA from 1 species
UUGGCUUGGAUUGAAAGUCUUGUUAUGACUUAUAAGUGUGCAAAUUGAUGUGUUUAGGUUGUGUACAGGCCAAUUUUGGGCCACCCCAAAACCCAACUAACCUACCCUAACCUAAACAGCCCAAUACCCAUUAAGCCUAACUAAUACAUCAGCCAACCCAAUUUCAAACCCCAUUAAAUCACUAACCCAUUAAACCCCAAAACCCAACUAACCCACCCCAAAACCCAAUAACUAAACCUACUCAAAACCCAUACCCAUCUCAUCCUAAACUAACCCAUUAAACCCCAAAACCCAACUAACCCACCACAAAACCCAAUAACUAAACCUACUCAAAACCCAUACCAUCUCAUCCUAAACUAAGCCUAAACAACUAAACCCGAAGCCCAACUACCCCAGCCCAAUAACCUAAACUCAGCAUUCAGAAACCCGAACCCCACUUGCGCACCAACUCCC